CCUACGGGAGACAGCAGUGGGGAAUAUUGGGCAAUGGGCGCAAGCCUGACCCAGCAACGCCGCGUGAAGGAAGAAGGCUUUCGGGUUGUAAACUUCUUUUAAGGGGGAAGAGCAGAAGACGGUACCCCUUGAAUAAGCCACGGCUAACUACGUGCCAGCAGCCGCGGUAAUACGUAGGUGGCAAGCGUUGUCCGGAUUUACUGGGUGUAAAGGGCGUGCAGCCGGAGCGACAAGUCAGAUGUGAAAUCCACGGGCUCAACCCGUGAACUGCAUUUGAAACUGUUUCCCUUGAGUGAUGGAGAGGUAAUCGGAAUUCCUUGUGUAGCGGUGAAAUGCGUAGAUAUAAGGAAGAACACCAGUGGCGAAGGCGGAUUACUGGACGAUAACUGACGGUGAGGCGCGAAAGCGUGGGGAGCAAACAGGAUUAGAUACCCCAGUAGUC
rnacentral:rRNA from 1 species